GGAGAGGUGGCAGAGUUGGUCGAUUGCGUCUGACUUGAAAUCAGAUAAAUCAGCAAUGGUUUCGAGGGUUCGAAUCCCUCCCUCUCCU
rnacentral:tRNA from 1 species